rnacentral:miRNA from 1 species
UGAAAGAUCAUAGAAUGCGAAA